rnacentral:rRNA from 1 species
GACGAACGCUGGCGGCGUGCCUAAUACAUGCAAGUCGAGCGCAGGAAGCUGACGGAACUCUUCGGAGGGAAGGCAGCGGAAUGAGCGGCGGACGGGUGAGUAACACGUAAGGAACCUGCCUCAAGGAUUGGGAUAACUCCGAGAAAUCGGAGCUAAUACCGGAUAGUUCAUCGGACCGCAUGGCCCGUUGAUGAAAGGCGCUUCGGCGUCACCUUGAGAUGGCCUUGCGGUGCAUUAGCUAGUUGGUGGGGUAACGGCCCACCAAGGCGACGAUGCAUAGCCGACCUGAGAGGGUGAUCGGCCACACUGGGACUGAGACACGGCCCAGACUCCUACGGGAGGCAGCAGUAGGGAAUCUUCCACAAUGGACGAAAGUCUGAUGGAGCAACGCCGCGUGAGUGGUGAAGGUUUUCGGAUCGUAAAACUCUGUUGUAAGGGAAGAACACGUACGAGAGGGAAUGCUCGUACCUUGACGGUACCUUACGAGAAAGCCACGGCUAACUACGUGCCAGCAGCCGCCGUAACAC